UGACACAGCACAGAGGGCUGGGGCUGGGCUGGGCUUUGCUUUUCUACUUGUUUCUUCCUCUUUCCUCCUUGUUUACUCACUCAUGGCACAUCCACAGGCUUCAGUCCCUCAGGUGUGUACCUGCUCUGGUGUCAUCCCUCCCUGGGCUGGUCUCUUCAGGGAGAAAUGGGCCAGUGGGAAUUCCAUGAAGUUUCUAGAGGAAAACGCCGUGUCCUGCACCUGGGCAGGGAUGUUUCCAUUUGCCAACACUCACAUGAGAGACCAGAGAAGCAUCUGGCUGUCCUGAUGGCCACGAGCCACCCCUGAGUCAGCGGUGCACCUCCAUGGUCUGACAGCAUCCUCAGGUGUGGGAGCCAGAGGAUUUGCCCACAGGUUACCCCCAUCCCCUCCUGGGGCACAGGGAAGGCCACAUCUGGAGCACUGGCACCAGUUUUGGACUCCCCAGUACAAGACAGCCUGGUCAGAACUGGGGUCCAGCAUGGACUGAUUAGGACAUCUGAGAAUCUGACAGCAGUUCCAGGAGUGUGUCCUGUGCACAGACAUUUCAAGGUGGUAGCUCUGUGCCGCCUGGGCCCUUCUUGCUCCAAGUGCCUCUGGGAUGUGACUGAUUCCAGCAGCUGUGGAUUAAGUGGCUGCCUUGAACCUUUACCAGCCCAGAACUUUUAACAGCCCGCUGUGGGCCUUGUUUGCACACCGACAAACAUGCAGGAAGCAUUUGUGCCCAUGUGGAGACCAGAACCAGCUGAGAUACAAGCAAUGGUGAUUUCUGCUGGAGAAAGAAUUCUUGAGCAGGAAGGUGCAUCCCUCAAAACAGCCAAGGAAACAGGAGUGGGAGAAGCUAUUGGUGCUACAACAGUGCCCUUGGCUUUGGGAGAUAUGACACAUGCUUG